GAGUUUCGCGUUUUUGUGUUCUUGAUUACUGAUUGAAAUUGUUGGAUGGUUGAACUUAUUGAUUAAUUUGUUAUUUCUUUUCCUCUCUCGUUUGAUUUUCGCAUUUUUAGGUCUUGAUUGAUGGUUGAAAUUGUUUGAUUGUUGAACUUAUUGAUUAAUUUGUUAUUUAUUUGGCUGUAGGUAGUUGAUUAAUUGUUUUUCUUUAGGGAUUUGUCACUGUUUUAGCGUUGUUGAUGUGGUUGUGAUUUCUGUAUACUCUCAGAAACAACUUCUCUAAUAAUACUACAGGUUAGGGUAAGGCUCCGAACAUUUGGAAGACUGACCCUAUCUAGACCCCACCAUUGGUGAUAUCCAUUUUACUGAAGGUUUUUCAUUGUUAAAUUAUUUAUUUGAAGAUCAAAAGAAAGCAACAAUCCAAUAUAAAAUAUGAAGCAACAGCACGAUGACAGUAACAUGAAAAUAACAAAAUGCUUAUGGGUAAAAUUUAAAACCAAAACUCAAUUCAUUUUUUGAUUUUCUGAACUGGAUUAUCAGAUUAUCUCAGUAAUUUCAGUUCUUAAUCCUGGUAAAAUUCUAAUAUUGAUUUAAAGAUUAAAAAAAAGAUCAAAUUCAAAUAGUCCAAUUUAAUUAGUUGCAAACAAACUCUAGUAAUUUUUGGAUUAUAAGUAUUUAUAAUGUAAAUUACCAAAUAAGAAUACAACAGAAGUGUAAGAAAUAUAGCAGAAGAGUAAUUCAUAACCGGAGGAAAGAAUGAAUUAUAUUCUUGGGAUUGUAGGUGAAGUGCUUAAACGAAAACGACCACAAAUGGAAAACACAGAUAAAACUGCUGACUGGUCAGCUUUAAGAAUGCAAAAACUAAUAAAUGCAAUGGCUACGAAGAAUCAUUUCUAUAUAGGUAUCCACCCAUCUGGUAACAUUGAAAAGUGAUCCAGUCUUACCACUCUGCGGGUCAGAAACUAUUCACUAGUAGAGAAAACGUCAUUUGCAACACUGUUAACUCUCCUUCUCUCCCUAUAACUCUCCGUCCAUUUCAAACCCUAGAAUUCUAUCUCUUUGUUUCGUCCAAAUCGUUCAAUGGGAUUUCGAAAAAGAACUUCGAUCUGGUUCCUUCCAACUCCCCUCGUGCAAAAGUAUAUUUCUAUCUAUCUCUAAAUCUCACCAUUUUUUUCCUUUUCUUUCUCAUUUUUUGGAUAUGCUGGUCGAUUAUUUUGAAAUAAUGUAAUGGGUUCAACUCUAGAGAGAAAGACGAUUAACUCCACUCUCGCUCAUUGUUCUACCUUUGCCUCGUUGAUUGCGAAUCUCCCAUUGUUGCGGAUAUUGCAAAUAUUUCUUGAACUGCAAUACUGGAAAAGGUACGGAGUAUCACCAUUCUGCGUUUUUUUUAUGGUAAGGGCAAGUUAGUAUUGGGUCUCUUCAAGUAUGGUAGAAUUUUAUUGGGUAGUUUUUAGAUUGAAUCUUGUUUUCAUGCUCGAAGUUGGAUACAUACCCUUUACUCCCUUUACUGCUGAUGUUGUUACAACAUGGUUAUGAAUUACGGUUAAUCGGUGGUUAUUCAUAUUGUUAGACAUUACUUAAGAAAUGUGUAUUUUACUUUCGUCUCUUUACUUUCAAUUGUGUUUUCUUAAUUUUUUUAGGUUAAUGAAUGGUAAAGAUAAAGAUAAAUCCCCUUCUUGUUGGUCUUGAGCUCAUUUAAGGCCUCACUCAUCUUGUUAUCAUGCAGACCAUAACCUGAAAAAUGCUUUUAGAAGAUUAUUUUUUUGUAUAUAUAUAAUAAUAAUAUUUAUAUGAUUCCGUAGGGCUUAGUGACUUCCUGUUUUUUUCGUAUUUGUAUUAUUGAAGGGAUUGCAAACCCCAAGACUGUGUCUGUUCAAGCAGGAGGCAAAGACUCAGUAGUGCUUACUACAACAAAGACCAGGAAGCAGAAUAAGCCUGCAAGUACGCAACACAAGUAUGCGAAGAAGAAAGAUUUCAGUUGGAUUAUGCAGGCAAUUCAUUCAGGAGCAGAUCUGGAGGCUGCUAUUUCAAAUUGCAUGGGAUACAAAACUGAGGGUCAAGGCUUUAUGGUUGGCGUGAAUAUCGAUCCUCUUCCUGGAUUGCCAGCUGCAUUUUCGGAUUUGCUUCAGUUUAUUUUGGUACAUGUGGAAGAUAAGAAUGUGGAGCCGCUGCUUGAGGCAUUACUAGAGGCAUGACAGGAACUCCGACCAUUGUUGUUCAAAUCUCACAAUCGGCUGAAGGAUCUAAUAUUUUUGGAUAUUGCUCUUGAUUCUUCUGUGGGGACAGUCAUUGAAAGGGGUUACGAGGAGCUGAAUAAUGCUGGACCUGAGGGUUAUGUACAAAGAGAAACGCCAUACUCUAAUGAGGAGUUAGAAGAAACUCGAGAACAAUGGGCAAAGUAUUUUAAGGACAACUAUUUGAAGGAUGCCGGCGAAUGAGUUUGUUGUCUAGUAAUGUUAUGUUUUAUGUUUUUGUUAUGUGUUGGAUAUGACGUUGGAUGCUAAUUGGAGCUAUAUAUGGUUGUUGGAACAUAUAUGUAUGUUAUGUCUUAUAUACAGGUGUUUAUAAAUUCCCGUUUUGUCCGGGUUUCGUAAAUUACAAGGGAAACUAUGGCAAAUUUUUUGCAACCUAUUAAACUAUUUAUAAUGUUUUUAUUAUAAUUUUUUGUCAAAACAAUAGGAUUGUCCAGGGAUA